rnacentral:snRNA from 1 species
GGAUGUGAGGGCGAUCUGGCUGCGACAUCUGUCACCCCAUUGAUCGCCGGGGUUGAUUCGGCUGAUCUGGCUGGCUAGGCGGGUGUCCCCUCCCUUCCUCCCUCACGGCUCCAUGUGCGUCCCUCCUGAAGCUGCGCGCUCGGUCAGAGGACGACCUUCCCCGAUAGAGGAGAGGACCGUUCUUCAGUCAAGGGUAUACGAGUAGCUGCGCUUCCCUGCUAGAACCUCCAAACAAGCUCUCAAGGUCCAUUUGUAGGAGAACGUAGGGUGGUCAAACUUCNNNNNNNNNN